ACAGGGUUUAACAGUGUCUUGGAAGGUGGGGCAGGGUCAGGAGGGGAGGGGAAUUAGUCUGACAGGGUUUAACAGUGACUGGGAGGGUGGGGCAGGGUCAGAAGGGGAGGGGAAUUAGUCUGACAGGGUGUGACAGUGUCUGGGAGGGUGGGACAGGGUCAGAAGGGGAGGGGAAUUAGUCUGACAGGGUUUAACAGUGACUGGGAGGGUGGGGCAGGGUCAGGAGGGGAGGGGAAUUAGUCUGACAGGGUUUAACAGUGACUGGGAGGGUGGGACAGGGUCAGGAGGGGAGGAGAGUUAGUCUGACAGGGUUUAACAGUGAC